rnacentral:lncRNA from 1 species
GUCUUCCUGCCUGCCCUGUGCUGGAAGACGGGGGUGCCCCGCUGCGUUAUCAAGGGGAAGGCCGGGCCGAGGAGUCUGGCCCACAGAAAGAUCUGCACCACUGUCACCUUCACACAACUUAACUCAGAAGGUGAUGGAGCUCUGGCUAAGCUGGUGGAAGCCAUCAAGACCAAUUACAGGGACAGUGAUCUAAUUGCCAGGAUCUGUUCCGGGUAACCUGGUAUUUAAUCAAAAGUCACUGGCCUGUUUCAAAACUUCUCUGAGCCUUGGUUCUAAAAUCUUUAAAGAAGGGUAUGCUGAUGUCUUCCAUGAUCAUAAGGUAGAUGGGAGAACUGAAUGGGAUAAUGUGUGCCACACACUUAAUACAAUGCCAGGAGAAAGUUUGCGCAGGGCUUGACAAGCAGUGCCAUGUCCGCACCCGGGAUCCAAACUGAUGAACCACAGGCCACUGAAGCAGAAUGUGCGAACUCUCCUAUCAACAAAAGAGCAAAUCAUCCUCAGCCAAAAAAACAAAAGAAGAGGGCAAAAGAUCUGAGCAGAUAUUUUUCCAAAGAAGACAUACAGAUGGCCAACAAGCACAUGAGAAGAUGUUCAACGUCAUUAAUUAUUAGAAAAAUGUGAAUCAAAACUACAAUGAGAUAUCACUUCAUGCCCCUCAUAACGGCUAUAAUUACCAAUAUAGAAAUAACAAAUGUUGGAGAGUAUAUAGAGAAAAGGGAACUCUCAAACACUCAUACACUGCUGGUGGGAAUAUAAACUGGUGCAGCCACUGUGGAAAACAGCAUGGAGAUUCUUCCAGAAAUUAAUGACAGAACUACCAUAUGAUCUGGUUAUUCCACUGCUGGGUACUUAUCCAAAGAACAUGAGAAUAUGAAAGUGUAAAGAUAUAGGCACCCUACGUUCAUUGCAACAUUAUUCUCAACAGCUAAGAUUUGGAAACAACUUAGGUGCCCACCAAGGGAUGAAUGGAUAAAGAAGAUGUGGUGUAUAUAUAUAUAUAUAUAUAUAUAUAUAUAUAUAUAUAUACACACACACACACACAAUGAAGUACUACUCAGCUAUAAAAAAGAAAAAAUCUUGUCUGAGACAACAUGGAUAUAAUUUGAGGGUAUUAGGCUAAGUGAAAUAAGUCAGAUGGAGAAAGUCAAAUACCAUAUGAUCUCACUCAUAAAUAGAAGAAAAAAACAACAACAAUGAC